GACGAACGCUGGCGGCGUGCUUAACACAUGCGAGUCGAACGGAAAGGCCCUGCUUUUGUGGGGUGCUCGAGUGGCGAACGGGUGAGUAACACGUGAGUAACCUGCCCUUGACUUUGGGAUAACUUCAGGAAACUGGGGCUAAUACCGGAUAGGAGCUCCUGCUGCAUGGUGGGGGUUGGAAAGUUUCGGCGGUUGGGGAUGGACUCGCGGCUUAUCAGCUUGUUGGUGGGGUAGUGGCUUACCAAGGCUUUGACGGGUAGCCGGCCUGAGAGGGUGACCGGCCACAUUGGGACUGAGAUACGGCCCAGACGCCUACGGGAGGCAGCAGUGGGGAAUAUUGCGCAAUGGGCGGAAGCCUGAUGCAGCAACGCCGCGUGCGGGAUGACGGCCUUCGGGUUGUAAACCGCUUUCGCCUGUGACGAAGCGUGAGUGACGGUAAUGGGUAAAGAAGCACCGGCUAACUACGUG
rnacentral:rRNA from 1 species